UCAAACUUGGUCAUUUAGAGGAAGUAAAAGUCGUAACAAGGUUUCCGUAGGUGAACCUGCGGAAGGAUCAUUACUGAACUGUCAACAAGAGUUGUUGCUGGUCCUCGAUGGGGGAACAUGUGCACACUCUGUUCACACAUCCACUCACACCCUGUGCACCUUCUGUGGUUCCAUGGCUAGGGGGCAUGUCCUCCUGCUGUGGUUCUGCACCUUUACAUACACACACUGUAACAAAGUCACAUGGAAUGCACACUGCGUUUGACGCGAUACAAUACAACUUUCAGCAACGGAUCUCUUGGCUCUCGCAUCGAUGAAGAACGCAGC
rnacentral:misc_RNA from 1 species